rnacentral:rRNA from 1 species
CCUACGGGAGGCAGCAGUGGGGGAUAUUGGACAAUGGGGGAAACCCUGAUCCAGCGACGCCGCGUGAGUGAAGAAGUAUUUCGGUAUGUAAAGCUCUAUCAGCAGGGAAGAAAGAAAUGACGGUACCUGAGUAAGAAGCCCCGGCUAACUACGUGCCAGCAGCCGCGGUAAUACGUAGGGGGCAAGCGUUAUCCGGAAUUACUGGGUGUAAAGGGAGCGUAGACGGUAAUGCAAGUCUGGAGUGAAAGGCGGGGGCCCAACCCCCGGACUGCUCUGGAAACUGUGUAACUGGAGUGCAGGAGAGGCAGGCGGAAUUCCUAGUGUAGCGGUGAAAUGCGUAGAUAUUAGGAGGAACACCAGUGGCGAAGGCGGCCUGCUGGACUGUAACUGACGUUGAGGCUCGAAAGCGUGGGGAGCAAACAGGAUUAGAUACCCUUGUAGUC